UACAGAGGAGCCAAGCGUUGUCCGGAUUGACUGGGCGUAAAGCGCACGCAGGCGGUUGCGCGCGUGGGGUGUGAAAUCUGGCCGCUUAACGGCCAGGCGCCAUCCCAUACGGCGCGACUGGAGUGAUGCAGAGGUCGAUGGAAUUGCCGGUGUAGUGGUGAAAUGCGUAGAGAUCGGCAGGAACACCCAGGGGGAAACCAGUCGACUGGGCAUCUACUGACGCUGAUCUGCGAAAGCUAGGGGAGCAAACAGG
rnacentral:rRNA from 1 species